GGAGCUGUAGUUCAAUUGGUAGAAUAGUAGAUUCCAACUCGUGUGGAUUAUCUAUUGGUCGCAGGUUCGAUUCCUGUCAGCUUCA
rfam:Cryptococcus bestiolae CBS 10118 unplaced genomic scaffold supercont1.10, whole genome shotgun sequence.